AUUGGAAUGGCACUAAUGCCAGAGGACUAGAGAAUUGGGCAUCCCCAGCAUAUUGUCAAUCAACUUAAGUGACAUGUCAUUUUACUGUGUUUUUGGUUCUUAACCUUGUUUUGUGAUUUGGACCUACUGUUCCUUUCCUCCGAGAUCAUCCCUUCAUCCUUCCCUCACAAAAACACCAUGACAUGAAUAUUAAGCCCAGGAAGUGUGAUCAAUAGUCAUCACCUUGGCACUGAGUUGGUGGAGAGUGGGUAACAUGUGGUGGUUUGGUUGCUGCCUAAACCAGUAAGUAGGGAUUUGCCAUAAUAAACAUGUAUCCUUUCUCUCCACUUUAUCAGGCAUGUAGGUGGCGUUUGAGAAUUUGAAUGAUUUAUUCUCAGAAAGCCUCUCUAACGGUGGAGAAGUACUUUGCAUAAACAUUUGGGUAGUGCUGGAAGGAAUAGGAAUAGAUCCUAGUUUGGGUUUUCCUUAAUACAUAGAGAUGGGCCAGUGGAGCACUAAUUCUGGAUCAGUUCACAAGCCAAAGACCAGUCCUAUGUCUGUUGAAAGUUCUUAAUGGGAGUUUGGCAGUCAAGGCCUGGGCAUUCGCCUGCAUGGUAUACUUGGGUAGUACUACAUUGCUUGGGAACUGGACAUGCCCCAGGCAGUCACAUUAAAUUAUCCUCUCACUGUGCACAAACACUUGAAAGCAUU